UAGACACCCACACCAUGAAAUUUCUCAUCUUUCUCAUGCAGAUGAAUUCCCACCUCUUGGCCCUCUUCCUCAUCACCGUCCUCAUCUCAUUAUAUGUCACCUCACGCCGCCGCCCUGUCUACCUCGUCGACCACGCCUGUUUCAAGCCGGGCUCCAUCCACGAAGUCACGCACAAGUCUUUUAUAGAGUUAUGUGAGAACUGCGGGACGUUCUCCGAUGAGAGCCUCCGGUUCCAGAAGCGGAUGCUGGAGCGGUCAGGGGUUGGUGAGCUGACCUACUUCCCGACCUCACUCAUGAAGGUGCCAAUGAAUCAAUGUAUUGCGACUGCAAGGGAGGAGGCGGAGACGGUGAUCUUCGGGGCGGUGGACGAACUGAUAGCCAAAACAAAGGUAAGGGUGGAGGAGAUAGGGGUGUUGGUGGUGAACUGCACCCUCUUCUGCCCCACACCGUCUCUGGCAGCGAUGAUCGAGAACCGAUAUGGGUUGCCGGAGGACGUGAUCAGCUACAACCUCAGCGGGAUGGGCUGCAGCGCGGGUCUGGUCUCAGUGGACCUGGUGAAGCACCUCCUCCAGGUCCACCCCAACAAAUACGCUCUAAUAGUAAGUACCGAGAACAUGACUCUCAACGCCUACUUCGGCAACAACCGCUCAAUGCUGCUCACAAACACCCUCUUCCGCAUCGGCAGCGCUGCUAUCCUCCUCUCCAACCGGCCCUCCGACCGGCAGCGUGCGAAGUACCAGCUCUCGCUCACCCUCCGCACUCACAAAGGCGCCGACCAAAGCUCCUACUCCUGCGUAAUGCAGGAGGAGGACGCUGAGGCUAAAAUAGGGAUCGCCCUGUCCAAGGAUCUCAUGAAAGUCGCUGGUGAGGCCUUGAAGGCCAACAUCACAACACUGGGACCCCUCGUCCUCCCCAUCUUGGAGCAACUGAAGUUCCUGAAAGCGUUGAUUCUGAAGAGGGUGUUCCACGUCAAAAUGAAGGCUCAUAUUCCGGACUUCAAGCUUGCAUUCGACCAUUUCUGCAUCCAUGCAGGUGGGAGGGCUGUGCUCGACGAGCUUGAGAGGAGCCUUGUGCUGAGCAGCGGGAACAUGGAGCCCUCGAGGAGUACUCUGUAUAGGUUUGGUAACACUUCUAGCAGUUCACUGUGGUAUGAGAUUGCUUUCUGUGAGGCCAAGGGGAGGAUGAAGAAGGGAGAUCGAGUGUGGCAGAUAGCGUUCGGGUCGGGAUUCAAAUGCAACAGUGCAGUCUGGCGGGCGCUGAGGACUAUUGAGCCGGUUGAGAAGGAGAAGCCAUGGCUGGACGACGAGUUUGGUCAUUAGUUUCCUGGGUGCCUAAGUUAUCACAAUUAG
rnacentral:misc_RNA from 1 species